GACGAACGCUGGCGGCGUGCUUAACACAUGCAAGUCGAACGGAAAGGCCCUGCUUUUGUGGGGUGCUCGAGUGGCGAACGGGUGAGUAACACGUGAGUAACCUGCCCUUGACUUUGGGAUAACUUCAGGAAACUGGGGCUAAUACCGGAUAGGAGCUCCUGCUGCAUGGUGGGGGUUGGAAAGUUUCGGCGGUUGGGGAUGGACUCGCGGCUUAUCCGCUUGUUGGUGGGGUAGUGGCUUACCAAGGCUUUGACGGGUAGCCGGCCUGAGAGGGUGACCGGCCACAUGGGUACUGAGAGACGGACCAGAAUCCUACGGGAGGCAGCAGUGGGGAAUGUUGCACAAUGGGCGGAAGCCUGAUGCAGCAACGCCGCGUGCGGGAUAACGGCCUUCGGGUUGUAAACCGCUUUCGCCUGAGACGAAGCGUGAGUGACGGUAAUGGGUAAAGAAGCACCGGCUAACUACGUG
rnacentral:rRNA from 1 species